UACGGAGGGGGCUAGCGUUGUUCGGAAUUACUGGGCGUAAAGCGCACGUAGGCGGCUUUGUAAGUUAGAGGUGAAAGCCCGGGGCUCAACCCCGGAACUGCCUUUAAGACUGCAUCGCUUGAAUCCAGGAGAGGUGAGUGGAAUUCCGAGUGUAGAGGUGAAAUUCGUAGAUAUUCGGAAGAACACCAGUGGCGAAGGCGACUUACUGGACACAUAUUGACGCUGAGGUGCGAAAGCGUGGGGAGCAAACAGG
rnacentral:rRNA from 1 species